CUCGACACUCUGAUUCUCCUUUUCCAUCCUGCGUCUGAUGUUUAUGAACUUCUGUGGAAGCUUAUUCUUCUUGCUGCCUCCUGGGGAGUUUCUAUUUUUCUCUUGUUCGUCUGGAGGACCGUCCUUGCUGUAAAGCCUCCAGUGUGUCAAGUUACUUUAAAGCAGAUGACUGAGCAGAGCAAGAAUUUGGAGAAUGAAAACAGAGAACUUGCAGAAAAUAUAUCUGCUUGGGUGCAGAAGACCAACAACGCAAAGAAAUGCUUAGAGGAGGCCAUCAGGCAAAA